GUAUUAUUGCGUUAGACGCGGUGUUACAUUCUGAUACAUAUUGUUUGUGUGAAGACGUAGGCCGAGGUGUUAACCCCAACCCACAGAUAGUGCACAGGUGUAGAGUGGAUGAGCGAGGCGAGCACAUACUCCGGAGAGCCAGCUGCAAACCCCUUUCAAACUCGAUAAUGAUCCUUCCGCAGGUUCACCUACGGAAA
rnacentral:misc_RNA from 1 species